UAGCCGUAAACGAUACUCGCUAGGUGUCGGCCACGGUGCGACCGUUGUCGGUGCCGUAGGGAAGCCGUGAAGCGAGCCACCUGGGAAGUACGGCCGCAAGGCUGAAACUUAGAGGAAUUGGCGGGGGAGCACCACAACGGGUGGAGCUUGCGGUUUAAUUGGAUUCAACGCCGGAAAUCUUACCGGGACCGACAGCAACAUGAAGGCCAGGCUGAAGACUUUGCCGGAUUAGCUGAGAGGAGGUGCAUGGCGUAGUCGUGU
rnacentral:rRNA from 1 species